rnacentral:rRNA from 1 species
UCAGAUUUAACGCUGGCGGCGUGCUUAACACAUGCAAGUCGAACGGAAAGGCCCUGCUUUUGUGGGGUGCUCGAGUGGCGAACGGGUGAGUAACACGUGAGUAACCUGCCCUUGACUUUGGGAUAACUUCAGGAAACUGGGGCUAAUACCGGAUAGGAGCUCCUGCUGCAUGGUGGGGGUUGGAAAGUUUCGGCGGUUGGGGAUGGACUCGCGGCUUAUCAGCUUGUUGGUGGGGUAGUGGCUUACCAAGGCUUUGACGGGUAGCCGGCCUGAGAGGGUGACCGGCCACAUUGGGACUGAGAUACGGCCCAGACUCCUACGGGAGGCAGCAGUGGGGAAUAUUGCACAAUGGGCGGAAGCCUGAUGCAGCAACGCCGCGUGCGGGAUGACGGCCUUCGGGUUGUAAACCGCUUUCGCCUGUGACGAAGCGUGAGUGACGGUA